rnacentral:rRNA from 1 species
CGCCAGACUCCUACGGGAGGCAGCAGUGGGGAAUAUUGGACAAUGGGGGGAACCCUGAUGCAGCGACGCCGCGUGAGUGAAGAAGUAAUUCGUUAUGUAAAGCUCUAUCAGCAGGGAAGAAAAUGACGGUACCUGAGUAAGAAGCCCCGGCUAACUACGUGCCAGCAGCCGCGGUAAUACGUAGGGGGCAAGCGUUAUCCGGAUUUACUGGGUGUAAAGGGAGCGUAGACGGCAGUGCAAGUCUGGAGUGAAAGGCGGGGGCUCAACCCCCGGACUGCUCUGGAAACUGUACGGCUGGAGUGCAGGAGAGGUAAGUGGAAUUCCUAGUGUAGCGGUGAAAUGCGUAGAUAUAAGGAAGAACACCAGUGGCGAAGGCGGAUUACUGGACGAUAACUGACGGUGAGGCGCGAAAGCGUGGGGAGCAAACAGGAUUAGAUACCCCGGUA